rnacentral:rRNA from 1 species
GAUGAACGCUGGCGGCGUGCCUAAUACAUGCAAGUCGAACGCUUCACUUCGGUGAAGAGUGGCGAACGGGUGAGUAAUACAUAAGUAACCUGGCAUCUACAGGGGGAUAACUGAUGGAAACGUCAGCUAAGACCGCAUAGGUGUAGGGAUCGCAUGAACUCUAUAUGAAAAGUGCUACGGGACUGGUAGAUGAUGGACUUAUGGCGCAUUAGCUUGUUGGUAGGGUAACGGCCUACCAAGGCGACGAUGCGUAGCCGACCUGAGAGGGUGACCGGCCACACUGGGACUGAGACACGGCCCAGACUCCUACGGGAGGCAGCAGUAGGGAAUUUUCGGCAAUGGGGGAAACCCUGACCGAGCAACGCCGCGUGAAGGAAGAAGUAAUUCGUUAUGUAAACUUCUGUCAUAGAGGAAGAACGGUGGAUAUAGGGAAUGAUAUCCAAGUGACGGUACUCUAUAAGAAAGCCACGGCUA